rnacentral:rRNA from 1 species
UACAGAGGUCUCAAGCGUUGUUCGGAUUCAUUGGGCGUAAAGGGUGCGUAGGCGGCGGGGCAAGUCAGGUGUGAAAUCCCGGGGCUCAACCCUGGAACUGCACUUGAUACUGCUUUGCUAGAGUACUGGAGAGGAGAUUGGAAUUUACGGUGUAGCAGUGAAAUGCGUAGAUAUUGUAAGGAAGACCAGUGGCGAAGGCGAAUCUCUGGACAGUUACUGACGCUGAGGCACGAAGGCCAGGGGAGCAAACGGG